AAGUCGAACGAAGCACUCUACUCGAUUUUCUUCGGAAAUGAAAAUUUUGUGACUGAGGGGCGGACGGCUGAGUAACGCGGGGGUAACCUGCCUCAUACAGGGGGAUAACAGUGGGAAACGACUGCUAAUACCGCAUAAGCGCACAGGAUCGCAUGAUCCGGGGUGAAAAACUCCGGGGGUAUGGGAUGGACCCGCGUCUGAUUAGCCGGUUGGCAGGGUAACGGCCUACCAAAGCGACAAUCAGUAGCCGACCUGAGAGGGGGACCGGCCACAUGGGGACUGAGACACGGCCCAAACUCUUACGGGAGGCAGCAGGGGGGAAUAUUGCACAGGGGGGGAAACCCUG
rnacentral:rRNA from 1 species